CGACUGACAUCUGGAAAGAGACCCUGCCGGGCGAUCCCGGGACGGGUCCGCCGACGGGAUAAUGCUCUCAGGCACAGCGACAGAUGGGGCUCG
rnacentral:ncRNA from 21 species